UGACGAGUAGCGAACGGGUGAGUAACGCGUGGGAAUCUGCCCUAUAGUGGGGGAUAAGCCAGGGAAACUUGGUCUAAUACCGCAUACGCCCUACGGGGGAAAGGAGGGGAUCUUCGGACCGGUCGCUAUUGGAUGAGCCUGCGUAAGAUUAGCUUGUUGGUGGGGUAAAGGCCUACCAAGGCGACGAUCUUUAGCUGGUCUGAGAGGAUGAUCAGCCACACUGGGACUGAGACACGGCCCAGACUCC
rnacentral:rRNA from 1 species